rnacentral:rRNA from 1 species
UACGUAGGGACCGAGCGUUGUCCGGAUUCAUUGGGCGUAAAGAGCUCGUAGGCGGCUGCUCAAGUCGAAUGUGAAAACUCGAGGCUCAACCUCGAGCCUGCAUUCGAUACUGGGCGGCUAGAGUCUGGUAGGGGGAUCUGGAAUUCCUGGUGUAGCGGUGGAAUGCGCAGAUAUCAGGAGGAACACCGGUGGCGAAGGCGGCAUCCUGGACCAACACUGACACUGAUGAGCGAAAGCCAGGGGAGCAAACGGG